rnacentral:piRNA from 1 species
AAUCCGAUGACGGCCUUGCUCUGCCCA